AACGAACGCUGGCGGCAUGCCUAACACAUGCAAGUCGAACGAGACCUUCGGGUCUAGUGGCGCACGGGUGCGUAACGCGUGGGAACCUGCCCUUAGGUUCGGAAUAACUCCCCGAAAGGGGUGCUAAUACCGGAUAAUGUCUUCGGACCAAAGAUUUAUCGCCUUUGGAUGGGCCCGCGUUGGAUUAGCUAGUUGGUAGGGUAAAAGCCUACCAAGGCGACGAACCAUAGCUGGUCUGAGAGGACGAUCAGCCACACUGGGACUGAGACACGGCCCAGACUCCUACGGGAGGCAGCAGUGGGGAAUAUUGGACAAUGGGCGAAAGCCUGAUCCAGCAAUGCCGCGUGAGUGAUGAAGGCCUUAGGGUUGUAAAGCUCUUUUACCCGGGAUGAUAAUGACAGUACCGGGAGAAUAAGCUCCGGCUAACUCCGUG
rnacentral:rRNA from 1 species